UUGUGUCCUAGUAUGUCAAUCACAUAAGAAGCUCCGCCUCUCCAGACUACACAACUACAGAGCAGCUGCCAAAUGGGGGUACUGUGACAUGAGCCUGCUCCAGGUGCCAUGACUCCAUGCUACGCCUCUGGGUGGAGGCAACAGAAUUGGGAAGAAGCUGUAUUUGAGGAAUAAAGCAUAAGGCAGGAGUGACAAGAAGGCAGCAGGAGCAGCACAUUACGACAAUAAUGAAAGACUCCAGGAUACCACCGACUCCCACAACCCAAGUAAGACGCAGAAAAAGGAUGACCCCGAAGAUGUUCUGUAGACAGGGGAGGUAGACCCCCAUAAAGGUUCCCAUCCUUGGAGCCUAAAAUAAAUAAAAAGAAAGAUUAUAUGAGGUCCUGAAAAUAGAAAACCUCUACAUGAUUAUAUGGGAACGUGUGAACAGAAAA